rnacentral:rRNA from 1 species
AGGGGUAACAGGGAGCUUGCUCUGCUGACGACCGGCGCACGGGUGCGUAACGCGUAUACAAUCUGCCCCUUACUAAGGAAUAGCCCAGGGAAACUUGGAUUAAUGCCUUAUAGUAUCGAGAUAUGGCAUCAUAUUUUGAUUAAAGGUUACGGUAAGGGAUGAGUAUGCGUCCUAUUAGCUUGUUGGUGUGGUAACGGCACACCAAGGCAACGAUAGGUAGGGGCCCUGAGAGGGGGAUCCCCCACACUGGUACUGAGACACGGACCAGACUCCUACGGGAGGCAGCAGUGAGGAAUAUUGGACAAUGGGCGAGAGCCUGAUCCAGCCAUGCCGCGUGCAGGAAGACUGCCCUAUGGGUUGUAAACUGCUUUUGUACGGGAAGAAACGCCCCCACGUGUGGGGGUUUGACGGUACCGUAAGAAUAAGCAUCGGCUAACUCCGUGCCAGCAGCCGCGGUAAUACGGAGGAUGCAAGCGUUAUCCGGAAUCAUUGGGUUUAAAGGGUCCGUAGGCGGAUAAUUAAGUCAGGGGUGAAAGUCUGCAGCUCAACUGCAGGACUGCCCUUGAUACUGGUUAUCUUGAAUCGUUGUGAAGUGGCUAGAAUAUGUAGUGUAGCGGUGAAAUGCAUAGAUAUUACAUAGAAUACCGAUUGCGAAGGCAGGUCACUAACAACGUAUUGACGCUAAGGGACGAAAGCGUGGGGAGCGAACAGGAU